AUUGAACGCUGGCGGCGUGCCUAACACAUGCAAGUCGAGCGGUAACAGGUGUAGCGAAUACAUGCUGACGAGCGGCGGACGGGUGACGUAACGCUUGGGAAUCUGCCUAUUAGUGGGGGACAACCCGGGGAAACUCGGGCUAAUACCGCAUACGCUCUACGGAGGAAAGCCGGGGACCGCAAGGCCUGGCGCUAAUAGAUGAGCCCAAGUCGGAUUAGCUAGUUGGUAGGGGUAAUGGCCUACCAAGGCGACGAUCCGUAACUGGUCUGAGAGGACGACCAGUCACACCGGAACUGAGACACGGUCCGGACUCCUACGGGAGGCAGCAGGUGGGGAAUAUUGGACAA
rnacentral:rRNA from 1 species